UACAGAGGGGGCAAGCGUUGUUCGGAAUUACUGGGCGUAAAGGGCGCGUAGGCUGCCUGUUAAGUCGAACGUGAAAUCCCCGGGCUCAACCCGGGAACUGCGUCCGAUACUGGCAGGCUUGAAUUCGGGAGAGGGAUGUGGAAUUCCAGGUGUAGCGGUGAAAUGCGUAGAUAUCUGGAGGAACACCGGUGGCGAAGGCGGCAUCCUGGACCGAUAUUGACGCUGAUGCGCGAAAGCCAGGGGAGCAAACGGG
rnacentral:rRNA from 1 species